AAUCCUGAAUUCGAAAGGGAUCGGAUUCACGUCCGCCCGGCAAGCCCAGGCCGCCUGGCCCCGCCAGAUGGCGCCGGUCACCCGCCGCGAUUUGCUUCGCGUGCGGUGUCGCUCCCGGCGGCCACUCGGCAAGGGGUGGCGUAGCUCUGGCUCCGGAGGACUGCACUUCCUCCCUCGUAGAAACGUCGCGACCCGUUGGGUGCCGACCUCAAGGCCCGAGAAGGCAGCCCGUUCGCGACCCGCUUGGGGGUUCCCGCGGGACGCGUCGGACUCUCGGAGACCCGGCCGGCUGCCCGACGGCCGAACCAGAGGAGUCGAUCCGCCGAGCGAAAAAAGCACUGCGGUUUGUGCGGCGUCCGGCCCGGCGCCGACGCGAGCGGGGUGUGGCGUCCCCCGAGGCGCGGGUGUUUCCGUGCGAGGCACGGCCCCGAGCCCCGCCGCGUGGUCGGGUAGCCCGAAAGGCUUCCCACGCCGGCGUCCUCGGACCUCGGAUCAGAACUCCCGUCGGCGACGCCCACCUUCGGAUGGUCUCCCGC
rnacentral:rRNA from 1 species